CAGUCGCCGCGGGAAUACGUAGGGUGCGAGCGUUAAUCGGAAUUACUGGGCGUAAAGCGUGCACAGGCGGUUUUGUAAGACAGGCGUGAAAUCCCCGGGCUCAACCUGGGAAUGGCGCUUGUGACUGCAAAGCUAGAGUGCGGCAGAGGGGGAUGGAACUCCGCGUGUAGCAGUGAAAUGCGUAGAUAUGCGGAGGAACACCGAUGGCGAAGGCAAUCCCCUGGGCCUGCACUGACGCUCAUGCACGAAAGCGUGGGGAGCAAACAGGAUUAGAUACCCCGGUAGUCCCUGUCUCUUAUAC
rnacentral:rRNA from 1 species